rnacentral:lncRNA from 1 species
AGCUGUGUCACGUCAAAGUCAGGUCCCAGCAUGCAGUCCUGUCCUGCGCUGCGUGCCUGUGUCUCAUGUGCGCCUUGGCUAAAGGUCUGUCUGAAUAAAAGAUGCCACAUAAACAUAUGUCCAAUUCUGAAUUGUUUUGGAACUAUAGCUGGUUUAGCUGUAAAAGAAGGGGAGAAGAAGCAGGCUUGUACAAGUGCUCCUCAAGUUACAAACAUACUUUGUACAUAUUCAUAACUUAGAUACUGCUAUUAUUUGACCCCAUAAAAUACUGAAAUAACUUUAUAUACAGUGCUUGCUAGUUGAACAUGAUAAACC